UCAGAGUGUGUGUCUAUGUCCCGGCAGA
rnacentral:piRNA from 1 species